UCCUCGUCUCUGUGGCUUCACCAUCGUCUCCACCCGUCAGGAAGGUACACUUCAAGCCCACCCUUCUCACCGACCCUCCCUUGACUGCAGCAGGUGUCUCUGUUCAGAAGAGUCUCUCCACAUGUUGUUGCAUCUCUGACAUUGCUUUUUGAUAGCAAGUCUGGUCCUGGCUGCACUAAGGUUCCUAGGGCUCACAAUUAUGAAAACAUCCUUUAAAGUCUGAGCAAGAUAAAUUCCACCAAACAAAUGUCCAGGUGAGAAGGGGUUAUAAGAAUGACACGUUGACUAUAUUCUUCAAAAAUGGCUUGUCAUAAAAAAGGAAGGCUUAGAAACUAAUCCAGAUUAUAGGAGACUAAAGACACGUGACAACUAAAUGCAGCAUUGUGAUUCUAGACUGAAUCCUAUAAUGGAGCUUUUAAAAAAAGCCACAAAGGACAUUACUCAGUAAACUGACAAAAAUGGAAUAUGAAUAGAAGAUUAGUUAAAAGUUUUAUGCCAAUGUUAAAUUUACUGAAGGAGAUAACAGUGCUGUAUGUUAGAGAAUAUUAUUUUUCUUAAGAAACACACAA